rnacentral:rRNA from 1 species
GAACGGCUCAUUAAAACAGCUAUAAUCUCGUCGAAAAUGAUCCUAAUCGGAUAACUGCGAUAAAUUUGGAGCUAAUACGUGCUAUUAUACUCGAGCUCACGCUCUGAGUGCACUUAUUAGAUGAAGACCAAUCGGGCAACCGAAUUGGUGACUCUGAAUAAUUUCGCGGAUCGCACGGCUUUACACCGGCGACGUUUCGUUCGAGUAUCUGCCUUAUCAACUUUCGAUGGAAGUCUAUGUGACAACCAUGGUUGUGACGGGUAACGGAGAAUAAGGGUUCGACUCCGGAGAGGGAGCCUGAGAAACGGCUACCACUUCUAAGGAAGGCAGCAGGCGCGUAAAUUACCCACUCUUAACACGAGGAGGUAGUGACUAUCAAUAACGAGACAGAUCUCUAUGAGGCCUGUUAUCGGAAUGGGUACAAUUUAAACCC